rnacentral:rRNA from 1 species
GAUGAACGCUGGCGGUGUGCCUAAUACAUGCAAGUCGAGCGGUAAGGCUACUUCGGUAGUACACGAGCGGCGGACGGCUGAGUAACACGUAGGAACGUACCCAAAGUGAGGGAUAAGCACCAGAAAUGGUGUCUAAUACCGCAUGUGCUCUAAGGAGUAAAGCUUUAUGCGCUUUGGGAACGGCCUGCGCAUGAUUAGCUUGUUGGUAAGGUAAAAGCUUACCAAGGCGACGAUCAUUAGCUGGUCUGAGAGGAUGAUCAGCCAGACUGGGACUGAGACACGGCCCAGACUCCUACGGGAGGCAGCAGUAGGGAAUUUUCCACAAUGGGCGAAAGCCUGAUGGAGCAACACCGCGUGCAGGAUGAAGGCCUUCGGGUUGUAAACUGCUUUUAUAAGUGAAGAUUAUGACGGUAACUUAUGAAUAAGGAUCGGCUAACUCCGUGCCAGCCGCCGCCGUAA